CCCUUUGUACACACCGCCCGUCGCUACUACCGAUUGAUGGCUCAGUGAGGCGUUCGGACUGGCUCGGGGAGGUUGGCAACGACCACCCCAAGCCGGAAAGUUCGUCAAACUCGGUCAUUUAGAGGAAGUAAAAGUCGUAACAAGGUCUCCGUAGGUGAACCUGCGGAGGGAUCAUUACACAACAAAAUAGGAAGGCCUGGCUUCACGGCCGGCUGAAAUAUUUUUUUCCACCCAUGUCUUUUGCGCACUUGUUGUUUCCUGGGCGGGCUCGCCCGCCACCAGGACCAAACCAUAAACCUUUUUUUUCUUAUGCAGUUUCCAUCAGCGUCAGUAAAAACAAUGUAAUUAUUACAACUUUCAACAACGGAUCUCUUGGUUCUGGCAUCGAUGAAGAACGCAGCGAAAUGCGAUACGUAGUGUGAAUUGCAGAAUUCAGUGAAUCAUCGAAUCUUUGAACGCACAUUGCGCCCUUUGGUAUUCCAAAGGGCAUGCCUGUUCGAGCGUCAUUUGUACCUUCAAGCUUUGCUUGGUGUUGGGCGUCUUUUUGUCUCUCCUUUGCGGGAGACUCGCCUUAAAACGAUUGGCAGCCGGCCUACUGGUUUCGGAGCGCAGCACAUUUUUUGCGCUUUGUAUCAGGAGAAAAGGACGGUACUCCAUCAAGACGUUUACAUUUGUUCACUUUUGACCUCGGAUCAGGUAGGGAUACCCGCUGAACUUAAGCAUAUCAUA
rnacentral:rRNA from 1 species